CCUGAGCUGCCAAGCACUUCCUGUCUCUAUGUUAAUGAACUUUAUAAGCUCGAACUUCUUAAUCUCGUGCCAAAAAAUCUCUCAUAUCACCAUAAGUGUUAAGUGAUUAUGAGAUUCUUUCGAGAAAAUUAAAGAGUUUGAGCACACUUGCUGUUACCUAUUUACAGAACCAUUAUAAUGAAACAACUUCUACGCAUUCGUGACGGGGCUCGAGCGCCCUGACCCAAUCUUAGUGGGUUCUCUGAGUUUUGAGGUGGAGGCACCAGCCGACUUGCUGCUGACGUUGGAAUCGAUGCUGCUGGUGCUGGACCUGUGGCCGCCUCGGC